rnacentral:lncRNA from 1 species
UAAACCUGACUCUCUAUGAUUAUGUGCUGCCUUCAUGCUGAACGGUUUGAGCUCUGUCUUUAGCAUUUAAGGCAAUAGAAAAGCCUAAAGUCCAAUCUUUCUGGAAAUGUCCUGUUCCCUUCAGCUGCCUUCUGGACAUCACUGCCUCUCUGGUGGAACAGCAGAACAGAUGUUAACUACAGCAGUUGCUCUCAGUAAAUGGCUCACUUUCUGUAGUGGCUCAUCUACCUUCUGGCUGAGCAGAAGAACAAUCUGAUAUCAAUUGUAAUGCCAUCCUCAAAGCCA